GCCAGGUUCAUCUUGAACUCCUGACCACAAGUGAUCUGCCCACCUUGACCUCCCAAACUGCUGGGAUUACAGGUGUGAGCUACCGCAUUCUGCAAAGUUCAUGAUUUUUUAAAUAAAUGAGAACACUUGUUUAUUACUGAAAACUCAAAGUUUGUAGAUAAUAAAUUACAAAGCUUCAAUAAUUUCUGUUCCCAGAAAUCACCACCAUGAGCUGUUUAGUGUCUGCCUCCUUAACUUCCCACCCCUUCCAUAUCAAUGAGACCAGGUAACAGAGAGAAGACAAUAUGAACGUUACAAGGCCCCAACCCUCCAGGGAGCUUGCAAGAUUGCUGGGGAUAACAUGUGAAUUCCUCCAAGAAAAAGAGGCAAGUGUGCAAUGCAAGUGUGUGGAAUGGGAUAAGGGGAUUUUGAUGAGGAUGCUCUUAUUCUUAAAAGGAAGUUCAAGAAGGGUACCAGACCGAAUAUAUAAGCAGCUGGCUCUCAAAGACUGAGUAGGAGUAGACACAAGGCAUAUUCGAUGGAGCCACAGCACCUGUGUGGCAGAGUGUGUUUCUCACAUGCGGCCACAACAAUAUAUCUAUCACUCAUGUUCUUUCUUCAAAGUGACUUUGACACUCGUCCCAUUGAGAGGUAGAGUCUAGGUCUCCUUUGGCACUUGGAAUCGAGAGAGCUUUUGUGACUCUCCUGGCCAUAAGAGUAAGACAGAGAUGACCUUAUUGACUUCCAAGUCUAGGUAAUUAAAAACCAACUCAGCUUCUACCUUCCUGCUGGAACACUCAUGAGUGGUGCCCUGAGACGCCACAUAAGCAGUCUGACGGCCCUGAGGCCACCAUGCUAGAAGGGAGCCCACAUCAUCCCAUGUUGGGAAACCACAUGGAGCAGUCCCGAAACCACAUGAACCGACAAUGCUGUCCAGCUAGCCCUCAGCCUCUCUAGCCCUCUGAUCCCCCAACCUGUUCCAACUCCAGCCAAGAGACUGAGCCAGAACCACCUGCCCAGCUCUUCCUAAGUUCCAGACCUACAGAAACUAUGAGAGAGUAAAGUAAUUGUUAUUGUUUUGAGCCACUACAUUUAGAGGGGAUAAGCGAGCAGAAACUACAUGAGAACAUGUGGAAGGAUGUGGGGCAUCAUGAUUCUACUCCUUCCCCAUCAACAGACCCUGAGAACAGCCCACCUGCCGUCUUUGGCAUGAGUGGUUUGCACAAAACUGAGUUGCCAUGGAAAGAUGUGAGCUGGUGGGCAAGGGGCUAAUUGUAGGUGUGUGGCCUGGUGCUGACACGUAUUGACUGAGUUUUUAAUAUUUUUAGCACUACUCAAGUAUAAAAGGAGGCCUAUGACAAACGCAGCAUCAAUCUUUGUAUAUCAUAGCCUAAGAAUCUAACACAGACUGAAGUGUGGAAACUAGAAAGAACGGGAAGUUGUUGGGUGCAGGCCAGCAAAUGAUGAGAGUGAUGCAUCUUGGGAGGGAUGCCUGCUAUAUUGAAUGAGACCUUCCAAGGAUGGCUGGAGGCUGUCAUUUGAUUUUUUUAAUUGAAAAG
rnacentral:lncRNA from 1 species